CAACUUUCAUCCUACACUGUUGGAUCGAGAAAUGGACGUUCGAGAUUCGUCCACGUCACUAUGAGUUAAAAUUUAACUUCCAGUAAAUUUUAACUCAUGAGUGAAUCUGCGAGUUAAAUUUUAACUCAUGGUGACGUGGACGAAUCUCGACGUCCAUUUCUCGAUCCAACGGUGUAGGAUGAGAGUUA
rnacentral:pre_miRNA from 1 species